rnacentral:rRNA from 1 species
GGGUCAGUAGGUUGGUCGUGCCACCGGUACGUACUGGUCUCACUGAUUCCUCCUUCCUGAAGAACCGUAAUGCCAUUAAUUUGGUGUUGCGGGGAAACAGGACUGUUACUUUGAAAAAAUUAGAGUGUUUAAAGCAAGCUGACGCUUGAAUACAUUAGCAUGGAAUAAUGAAAUAGGACGAUCGAUGCUAUUUUGUUGGUUUCUAGGAUUGACGUA